CCGGGUCCUGGGCUCCGGGUCCUGGGCUGGGUCCCACCCGGGUCCUGGGCUCCGGGUCCUGGGCUCCGGGUCCUGGGCUGGGUCCCACCCGGGUCCUGGGCUCCGGGUCCUGGGCUGGGUCCCACCCGGGUCCUGGGCUCCGGGUCCCGGGCUCUCUACUUCCGAAGGAAAGGGAGUCGGGUUAUCGAUCAGGACGCAAGCUCUCGCAGGAACUUGCGCUUCGUGACCGGCGGGCCUGGGCGUCCUGGGGACAGGUGUGGGCGCAGGCCCUGUGCGUGUGAGGCGCCUGUCGUGAUGGGCGUGGCCCGGGGCCAGUUGUGCACGCUGUGCGCUGUGUUGGCACUGACUGGCAGUGUCUGUCUGCAGUUUGGAGCACCUUCCUUCUCUCAGGUUUAUUGAAAUAAAUCCAUAGGCAUCUUUA